UGGGUAGUCCGCACGAGCGCACCUUGCCCUAUGUUGCCAGCGGUUCGGCCGGGGACUCAUAGGGGACUGCCGGUGAUAAACCGGAGGAAGGUGGGGACGACGUCAAGUCAUCAUGGCCCUUACGCUUGGGGCUACACACGUGCUACAAUGGCCAGCACAAAGGGCUGCCAACCUGCGAAGGUGAGCGAAUCCCAAAAAGCUGGUCUAAGUUCGGAUUGUAGUCUGCAACUCGACUGCAUGAAGGCGGAAUCGCUAGUAAUCGUAGAUCAGCAAUGCUACGGUGAAUACGUUCCCGGGCCUUGUACACACCGCCCGUCACGCCAUGGAAGCCGGGAGUGCCCGAAGUCCGUGUCCUAACCCUUGGGAGGGAGCGGCCGAAGGCAAGCUCGGUAACUGGGGCGAAGUCGUAACAAGGUAGCCGUAGGGGAACCUGCGGCUGGAUCACCUCCUUUCU
rnacentral:rRNA from 1 species